rnacentral:rRNA from 1 species
CAUGACGGUACCGUAAGAAUAAGCACCGGCUAACUACGUGCCAGCAGCCGCGGUGAUACGUAGGGUGCGAGCGUUGUCCGGAUUUAUUGGGCGUAAAGGGCUCGUAGGCGGUUGAUCGCGUCGGAAGUGGAAACUUGAUGCUUAACGUUGAGCGUGCUUUCGAUACGGGUUGACUUGAGGAAGGUAGGGGAGAAUGGAAUUCCUGGUGGAGCGGUGGAAUGCGCAGAUAUCAGGAGGAACACCAGUGGCGAAGGCGGUUCUCUGGGCCUUUCCUGACGCUGAGGAGCGAAAGCGUGGGGAGCGAACAGGCUUAGAUACCCUGGUAGUCCACGCUGUAAACGGUGGGUACUAGGUGUGGGGUCCAUUCCACGGGUUCCGUGCCGUAGCUAACGCUUUAAGUACCCCGCCUGGGGAGUACGGCCGCAAGGCUAAAACUCAAAGGAAUUGACGGGGGCCCGCACAAGCGGCGGAGCAUGUGGAUUAAUUCGAUGCAACGCGUAGAACCUUACCUGGGUUUGACAUGGAUCGGGAGUGCUCAGAGAUGGGUGUGCCUCUUUUGGGGUCGGUUCACAGGUGGUGCAUGGCUGUCGUCAGCUCGUGUCGUG